GGAGAAUGUUAUCACGGGAGACACACGGCGGGUGCUAACGUCCGUCGUGAAGAGGGAAACAACCCAGACCGCCAGCUAAGGUCCCAAAGUCAUGGUUAAGUGGGAAACGAUGUGGGAAGGCCCAGACAGCCAGGAUGUUGGCUUAGAAGCAGCCAUCAUUUAAAGAAAGCGUAAUAGCUCACUGGUCGAGUCGGCCUGCGCGGAAGAUGUAACGGGGCUAAACCAUGCACCGAAGCUGCGGCAGCGACGCUUAUGCGUUGUUGGGUAGGGGAGCGUUCUGUAAGCCUGCGAAGGUGUGCUGUGAGGCAUGCUGGAGGUAUCAGAAGUGCGAAUGCUGACAUAAGUAACGAUAAAGCGGGUGAAAAGCCCGCUCGCCGGAAGACCAAGGGUUCCUGUCCAACGUUAAUCGGGGCAGGGUGAGUCGACCCCUAAGGCGAGGCCGAAAGGCGUAGUCGAUGGGAAACAG
rnacentral:rRNA from 1 species